rnacentral:rRNA from 1 species
CCUACGGGUGGCAGCAGUGAGGAAUAUUGGUCAAUGGGCGGAAGCCUGAACCAGCCACGUAGCGUGCAGGAUGACGGCCCUACGGGUUGUAAACUGCUUUUAUACGGGAAUAACGCGCCUUACGUGUAGGGCUUUGCAUGUACCGUAUGAAUAAGGACCGGCUAAUUCCGUGCCAGCAGCCGCGGUAAUACGGAGGGUCCGGGCGUUAUCCGGAUUUAUUGGGUUUAAAGGGGGCGUAGGCCGCAUGUCAAGCGUGCUGUGAAAUGUCCGGGCUCAACCCGGGCCUUGCAGCGCGAACUGGCGUGCUGGAGUCCGCGGAAGGCAGGCGGAAUUCGUCGUGUAGCGGGGAAAUGCUUAGAUAUGACGAAGAACCCCGAUUGCGAAGGCAGCGUACCGGCUCCACACUGACGCUGAGGCACGAAAGCGUGGGUAUCGAACAGGAUUAGAUACCCCAGUAGUC